rnacentral:lncRNA from 1 species
CGAUAUUUGCAAGCAGGAAAUUAGAUAUCAAGCAGAUACACAAACAUGCGAUAUUAGCAAAAAUCCGAAGCUAGUAUUUUAUUAAACAGGCGUUACCAUAUUACAGAUUUAGAAUUCCCAACAUUGAGGGAUCACCUUGUAUAUCCACCAAAUCUUCUUUUCCUACUUCUUAUUACCUAUCUGCCAACACCCCAUAGAAAUUGGGAAACAAAGGGGAAUAAAAGAAAAGAGAUAUGAAAUGUGUAUAUGUGUGCAAAAAUCUGCAGCACCCUUCUCUUUCCCUAUGCUAGCCGCCCACCCCUCCAAUCCCAUUCUCCCUAUCUCUACACCUAUUCCUUAGCACACUCAAGUGUGCAGCCUACAACCCCUUCUCAUUAGUCCUUAAUAUCUGCAGCAACCUCUUAAUCCUCUUCAUUCUGCAGGAGAAACUCUCAUUCAUUACCCUGCUAAAUUCUCAAGGUAAGCUUUAGCUUAACUUCUCCACCAUCAUGUUCCACCUGCAAUUAUCGAAGAAACCUCAAAAGUUAAUUCAUUACAGUUAUCCCAGUCCAGAAACACCUCAACAAUCGAGAUAUUAAAGGAGAACUUUCAUUCAUUCUCUGCCAGAAAUUGAAGUUCCACCUGCUGCAUUGAAUUCCACGACAAUCUUCAACUCACAAAAAUAUUCUCAAGGUAAUUACUCAACCCCAUGCUAUAUUCCAUCACACAUUUUCUGCAUCCAAGCAUGAUAAACAAACAAAAUCAAUGCAUUAUGAACAUUAUGUGAGAAUGAACAUAGCAGCAUGAAGAACCAACAACAUAUAACCUUUCACAGACUUUAACCUCCACACCAUAGCUUUACCAUCUCACAGCUGAUAAACCAUGUACAUAAUAUACCUCAGACGAUUCAUACGCAGUAGUUGUAAAGUGAGAGUAAAGAACUUAGCUUUUAGAAAGGAGGGGCGCUGCCCUGCUUAGUCAAGCCGAGAGAUGAUGUCGGGGCGGCGACUCACGGGGAUAGCAGCAUCGGCGACGUCGAGCUGUGAAAGGCAGACGACUCUCAGCGAUGGCCCCUCGCCAAUUUUGGAGUAGCAGCAGCAGCGGCGUACCCAUCGCCCGAAUCCAGCAGCAGUGCGUCUGCUCGAACCGCCGACCCGGAGAAAGCAGCAACGACAGACCUCUCUCUACUCGCCGGAGGGACGUAACGGCAACAAAGUGGCCGGAUUCUGGAAGAGGAAGAGGGUGUGUGGCCGGUUCUUUUUGGGGGAAGGAGAGGGCUCAAUUCUUGAGUGGCCUCCCCUGAAGCUGAGAGACAGCAGCAGCGACUCGGUGCACGACGGCGGUGGAGUUUCAGGCGGAGCGACGCCGGCUUGAGGUGACAAUGUCGCCGGAGCUUCAGGUGGCUCUCCGGUGGUGAUUUCGCCAGGAAGAGUCGGCAGCAGCCACUGCCGUGGUAGGGCGGCCCGGGGUGGCUGAUCGCCGCGAGCAGAGAGAGAGAGGGGGGGGGAGGACGCGGCCGAAGGCCAGGCGCGCGCGGACCGCCGCGAAAGCGGCAGCGGCGGCGGCGGCACUCUUCGGCCGCCUGAUGUGCACCAGGAGGGAGAGACGGAGGAGACGGCGAUGAGUGACGGAGGCCUCGGAUCUGGCGAUUCUCGCCGGGGUCGGAGCAGGCGGCGGCGAUUUCUAAUUUGGAGAGCUAGGGCUCGAUUCAGAAGGGGGAGAAUUAGGGCUUAAUUUUUGGGUGGCCUCCCCUAAAUCUCUCAGAGACAGCAGCAGGAGCUCGUGCCGGCGACGAGAAUGCGCCGGAGCUGGCUGGCCGCUGGAGGCUGAGCGAGAGGAGAGAAGAGAGAGGAAGGCGCGACUGGUUUGAGAGGGAGAGAGAGAGAUAACCGAGAGUGAGAGUUGAUUUGGGCUCCC